UACGGAGGCAGCAGUGGGGAAUCUUCCGCAAUGGGCGCAAGCCUGACGGAGCAACGCCGCGUGAGUGAAGAAGGCCUUCGGGUCGUAAAGCUCUGUUGUUGGGGACGAACGUGCUUUUUGCGAACAGCGGGGAGCAAUGACGGUACCCGACGAGGAAGCCACGGCUAACUACGUGCCAGCAGCCGCGGUAAU
rnacentral:rRNA from 1 species